rnacentral:lncRNA from 1 species
UCUUCACCAUGCUCUUGAGUAGACAUGGCAACAUAACUCGUACUCGCGGAUACCCACCCGAAUCCACCCCAAAGUUGACGGGGAAAAUCCGCUUUGAUUAGGUUUGGAUUUUGGUUUGGAUUUGGGUUUUCCUCGAUUAUAAAAUAUGGGGACGAAUCAGGUAACAGGGACACUAGUAUCCACCCCAAACCCAUCCCGUUUAUUUCAUUAUGUACAUUAUUACUAUUUUU